CCUACGGGAGGCAGCAGUCGGGAAUAUUGCGCAAUGGAGGAAACUCUGACGCAGUGACGCCGCGUGUGGGAAGACGGUCCUCUGGAUUGUAAACCACUGUCCCCAGGGACUAAGAUGACGGUACCGGGGGAGGAAGCACCGGCUAACUACGUGCAAGCAGCCGCGGUAAUACGUAGGGAGCGAGCGUUGUCCGGAAUUACUGGGUGUAAGGGGAGCGUAGGCGGGGAGGAAAGUAGGGUGUGAAAACUACGGGCUAAACUGGUAGUCGCACUCGAAACUGCAGGUCUUGAGUGAAGUAGAGGCAGGCGGAAUUCCUAGUGUAGCGGUGAAAUGCGUAGAUAUUAGGAGGAACACCAGUGGCGAAGGCAGCCUGCUGGGCUUUUACUGACGCUGAGGCUCGAAAGUGUGGGGAGCAAACAGGAUUAGAUACCCUUGUAGUC
rnacentral:rRNA from 1 species